rnacentral:rRNA from 1 species
CAGUGGCGAACGGGUGAGUAACACGUGAGCAAUCUGCCCUUGACUCUGGGAUAAGCGUUGGAAACGACGUCUAAUACCGGAUACGAGCUGUGAAGGCAUCUUCAACAGCUGGAAAGAAUUUCGGUCAAGGAUGAGCUCGCGGCCUAUCAGCUAGUUGGUGAGGUAAUGGCUCACCAAGGCGUCGACGGGUAGCCGGCCUGAGAGGGUGACCGGCCACACUGGGACUGAGACACGGCCCAGACUCCUACGGGAGGCAGCAGUGGGGAAUAUUGCACAAUGGGCGCAAGCCUGAUGCAGCAACGCCGCGUGAGGGACGACGGCCUUCGGGUUGUAAACCUCUUUUAGCAGGGAAGAAGCGAAAGUGACGGUACCUGCAGAAAAAGCACCGGCUAACUACGUGCCAGCAGCCGCGGUAAUACGUAGGGUGCAAGCGUUAUCCGGAAUUAUUGGGCGUAAAGAGCUCGUAGGCGGUUUGUCACGUCUGCUGUGAAAACUGGAGGCUCAACCUCCAGCCUGCAGUGGGUACGGGCAGACUAGAGUGCGGUAGGGGAGAUUGGAAUUCCUGGUGUAGCGGUGGAAUGCGCAGAUAUCAGGAGGAACACCGAUGGCGAAGGCAGAUCUCUGGGCCGUAACUGACGCUGAGGAGCG